rnacentral:rRNA from 1 species
GGUUCAUUCAAAUUUCUGCCCUAUCAACUUUCGAUGGUAGGAUAGUGGCCUACCAUGGUUUCAACGGGUAACGGGGAAUUAGGGUUCUAUUCCGGAGAAGGAGCCUGAGAAACGGCUACUACAUCCAAGGAAGGCAGCAGGCGCGCAAAUUACCCAAUCCCGACCGGGGAGGUAGUGACAAUAAAUACUGAUACAGGGGGCUUCUGCUUCUUGUAAUUGGAAUGAGUACAAUUUAAAUCUCUUAACGAGGAACAAUUGGAGGGCAAGUCUGGUGCCAGCAGCCGCGGUAAUUCCAGCUCCAAUAGCGUAUAUUAAAGUUGUUGCAGUUAAAAAGCUCGUAGUUG